UUCACCCACGAGGUUGCUUGAAAACAGUUAUUGAAAUGUUCAGUGGAAUGCCUGAAUUUAUUGGAACUCUGAAAUCUGUCUCCCAAAUUCUGAAAACAAAUCAAAGCCAGGGGUUGGCACUUCCAAGUAUCCAGCUUCAGAGCAUGGUGGCUGCAAUUCCAGGUAUGUUGAAUUGCAAAGUCUGAAUUAUUUGCUGAAAUAUGUCUGGGCAGUCAUAGUCUUGCUGCUUGGUACUAAAUUCUUCCACUGUAACUUGUUUUGAGACAAAUAGUUUAUACUAAACUUUAU
rnacentral:lncRNA from 1 species